GUAUUGUUCCAACAUACAGGACUUGUAUUCGUUUACUUAAGCUGUUUUCCAAGUUUUCAGUCUAUUCUUAUACAGCCGAGAGAUAGAUAGGAUUGAAUCAAGUAACAAAAUAGAUAGGCCCUUAUCCCAAGUUAGUUCUCAACGAUAGAAUAAGCAGUGUAGCGGUGAAGAAGAGGCUUGGCUCCCGACCCUCAAACUAGACCCCCUCAAACUGGACUAAAAGUUUCGUGAUUGGAUUUCCCUUUGCCUAAUUGAGUACUUACUUAAGUAUGGAGCAGGUGAUUGGCUUGACG
rnacentral:lncRNA from 1 species